AGAGUUUGAUCCUGGCUCAGGACGAACGCUGGCGGCGCGCCUAACACAUGCAAGUCGAACGGAGCUUAGAGAGCUUGCUUUUUAAGCUUAGUGGCGAACGGGUGAGUAACGCGUGAGUAACCUGCCCUAGAGUGGGGGACAACAGUUGGAAACGACUGCUAAUACCGCAUAAGCCCACGGUACCGCAUGGUACUGAGGGAAAAGGAUUUAUUCGCUUUAGGAUGGACUCGCGUCCAAUUAGCUAGUUGGUGAGGUAACGGCCCACCAAGGCGACGAUUGGUAGCCGGACUGAGAGGUUGAACGGCCACAUUGGGACUGAGACACGGCCCAGACUCCUACGGGAGGCAGCAGUGGGGGAUAUUGCACAAUGGGGGAAACCCUGAUGCAGCGACGCCGCGUGGAGGAAGAAGGUUUUCGGAUUGUAAACUCCUGUCGUUAGGGACGAUAAUGACGGUACCUAACAAGAAAGCACCGGCUAACUACGUGCCAGCAGCCGCGGUAAAACGUAGGGUGCAAGCGUUGUCCGGAAUUACUGGGUGUAAAGGGAGCGCAGGCGGGAAGACAAGUUGGAAGUGAAAUCCAUGGGCUCAACCCAUGAACUGCUUUCAAAACUGUUUUUCUUGAGUAGUGCAGAGGUAGGCGGAAUUCCCGGUGUAGCGGUGGAAUGCGUAGAUAUCGGGAGGAACACCAGUGGCGAAGGCGGUCUACUGGGCACCAACUGACGCUGAGGCUCGAAAGCAUGGGUAGCAAACAGGAUUAGAUACCCUGGUAGUCCAUGCCGUAAACGAUGAUUACUAGGUGUUGGAGGAUUGACCCCUUCAGUGCCGCAGUUAACACAAUAAGUAAUCCACCUGGGGAGUACGACCGCAAGGUUGAAACUCAAAGGAAUUGACGGGGGCCCGCACAAGCAGUGGAGUAU
rnacentral:rRNA from 1 species